CACCUGCAUUAUGAUCGAGAAAUGUGAAGAGAAAAGUUAAAUUUAGGGUAUAACGAGAAUGACAGAAUCACAAAAUCAUUCCAGAAAGCGGCCUCUACUAGAUAAGCUCUACCUGCUCCAAACUCAAGCCCAUAGAAAUAUUCCUUGAAAAUGAUUGAUCUGACAAUAGACAGAAAAAAGAUUAGUCACAUCACAGGUACUGAAGGUCAAAAUCUACAACCAAAAAGCUAGAGAGGGAGAGGAGGGGAGGGUGGAGAAGAGGGAAUACUGGAGAGGUCAUCAUUUUGAUAGGCGCUGGAGUGGUCUUUGGAAUAAUGCUCAUAUUUCUUCAGGGUGGAAAAGGAUUCCUCAUUGUAUUAUGUGGUGCCUUUGGAUGGAGCGAAAUGGUAGGCGUUUUGAAGAUCGGGAGCAUUCCUUAGAUGAGUUGAAGAGAUUCUUUUUCAACACCUUAUUUUAUUGGGCUUCUAUUAUCAUUGGUAAUGAGACUACUUUUCAUAAUUUGCUUGUAUCUUUAUCUAGUUCCUAGUGGUUGCUAGGCGUUUUCCAUAUAUAUUUUCUGUAUACUUGGGCUAUGCCUAUUGUUAUUACAAUAAAAUUAUAUUUUUACAUA